rnacentral:rRNA from 1 species
UACGGGGGGGGCAAGCGUUGUUCGGAAUUACUGGGCGUAAAGGGCGCGUAGGCGGCCCUCUAAGUCAGACGUGAAAUCCCUCGGCUCAACCGAGGAACUGCGUCUGAUACUGGAGGGCUUGAAUCCGGGAGAGGGAUGUGGAAUUCCAGGUGUAGCGGUGAAAUGCGUAGAUAUCUGGAGGAACACCGGUGGCGAAGGCGGCAUCCUGGACCGGUAUUGACGCUGAGGCGCGAAAGCUAGGGUAGCAAACGGG